GACCUCAACUCAUGUGUGACUACCCCCAAAUUUAAGCAU
rnacentral:rRNA from 1 species